CAGCACCUCAAGUGGUCAGGAUGAUUAUUGGGCCUAAAGCAUACGUAGCCGGCGCUGUAAGUUUUCGGUUAAAUCUGUACGCUCAACGUACAGGCUGCCGGGAAUACUGCAGCGCUAGGGAGUGGGAGAGGUAGACGGUACUCGGUAGGAAGGGGUAAAAUCCUUUGAUCUAUUGAUGACCACCUGUGGCGAAGGCGGUCUACCAGAACACGUCCGACGGUGAGGGAUGAAAGCUGGGGGAGCAAACCGGAUUAGAUACCCGAGUAGUCC
rnacentral:rRNA from 1 species